AAAGGGAGACCUAAUUCAGGUAGGAGACGAAAAAAAAGUAGUCCCUACCAGGAAUCAAUCCCAAAAGGUCGGAGCGAGGCGAAAUUGGCUUUCAAACUAGGUUCUGGGUUCAAACAAGACCUGAAUCAGGAACAAGGGCUAUUAGCUCAGGUGGUUAGAGCGCACCCCUGAUAAGGGUGAGGUCCCUGGUUCGAGUCCAGGAUGGCCCACCUGCACAGGUGGCAAAAACAAGAGAAGCGAGGAAUCAGCACCUUAUCUUACUUAUAUAGUAAGAGAGAAUGCUGGCUCUGAGUAAAGAGUCCAGAGGAACCUUGAAAACUGCAUAGAGCUAGGUGAAAAAGCCAAAAAAGAAGACCGCAAGGUCAAGCUAAUAAG
rnacentral:tRNA from 1 species